rnacentral:rRNA from 1 species
UAUGUGGGGAAUAGAUAAGCGCUGAAAGCAUCUAAGUGCGAAACUAGCCCGAAGAUGAAUCUUCCACACAAGGGUCGUUGUAGACUACGACGUUGAUAGGCUGCAGGUGUACGUGUAGAAAUACAUUCAGCUGAGCAGUACUAAUUACCCAACAGCUUGCAUAA